AGUGCGUAGGCAAGCGACUACAUCGUAGUCGGGAAGUUCAGAACAGGGCCCAAACCAUAAUCGACGGUAGGGGAGCGUUGAAGAGCAGAAGUGACCCAGGGAGCCAGAAUGGUAAAUGGGCACGAUAGGGUGAGAUUAGGAUGGUAAACGACCUGAAAUGGAAGGUGUAGAAAAGCCCACGGUGCUCCAUCUAGGCCCCCUCCACCCCGUAUGUGAAAUUACCGACGAACGCUUUUGGAGCUGUUGGCAAUGUUCGAGCUUCACGAGUACCUCGCGCGCUUUCCGAGUAAAUGGGCUGUGCCAGCGUUGGAAUGCCGUCAGCUGGUUCGAAGAAGGAAAGAUGUUAGAACGCUUGUGAAUAGACAGACUUCUCUUAUAUUUCGUUGGACUUCGAUGAUGACUGCGAAAGGCACGGGAUUAUAAUAGGCGAUGGACAACGCGUCUUGGUGAAAUACCCACAUGCUCUUACCAACAAAAUAGCAGUGGCUCGAACGAAGAAGCAAAUAGACGGGCGUAAUAGGAUGACAGAAAGCUGCGGACCUAUUAGACCUGCUGCAGUUCAUAACUGAAAUGCUGGACGAUGAUGAUGAUGAGAGUCCGGGUGGGGUGGAUCGUAUCACAUUUUUGCACAAAACCCAUUUAAUAGCGGACCAAAGGAUACUACCACGCAGCAGCGCCCGCCGAGCAGAUGCGAACGGGAGGCUUGUUAAAGCAACUACUGGGUGAAACAGACGCAGACGGAGACCUCUAGAACGACUCGUUUGUUGUGUCGUCGUGGAUAGCUAAGGUGUCUGAAGGAAGACCAUAUAUCUUGCAACAAGGUGGUACACCAGUUCAUG